rnacentral:rRNA from 1 species
UACGGAGGGGGCUAGCGUUGUUCGGAAUUACUGGGCGUAAAGCGCACGUAGGCGGCUUUGUAAGUUAGAGGUGAAAGCCCAGGGCUUAACCCUGGAAUUGCCUUUAAGACUGCAUCGCUAGAAUCGUGGAGAGGUGAGUGGAAUUCCGAGUGUAGAGGUGAAAUUCGAUAGAUAUUCGGAAGGAACACCAGUGGCGAAGGCGACUCACUGGACACGAUUGACGCUGAGG